rnacentral:rRNA from 1 species
UCAAGCAAUUUAAUGCGUAUGGUGGAUGCCUUGGCGAUUGCAGGCGAUGAAGGACGUAGCAAUCUGCGAUAAGCUUCGGGGAGUGGAUAAGCACACUUUGAUCCGGAGAUGUCCGAAUGGGGAAACCCACCCGCUUGCGGGUAUCGCAUCCUGAAUACAUAGGGAUGCGAAGCGAACCCGGCGAACUGAAACAUCUAAGUAGCCGGAGGAAAAGAAAUCAACCGAGAUUCCCAGAGUAGUGGCGAGCGAAAUGGGAACAGUCCGUGUCCGCAUCAACCAAAACAAUCUAGCAAAACCGUCUGGAAAGUCGGACCAUAGGGGGUGACAGUCCCGUAUGCGAAAGAUUGGUUUGGGGGCGGACGAAGAGUAGGGCGGGACACGUGUUAUCCCGUCCGAACAUGGGGGGCCCAUCCUCCAAGACUAAAUACUGGCAAUCGACCGAUAGCGAACAAGUACCGUGAGGGAAAGGUGAAAAGAACCCCGAUGAGGGGAGUGAAACAGUCCCUGAAACCGGACGCCUACAAACAGUCGGAGCUCGACGUCUUCUUUCGGGGAGGCGGACGGGUGACGGCGUACCUUUUGUAUAAUGGGUCAGCGACUUAGUCGGUCGAGCGAGCUUAAGCCGAUAGGCGUAGGCGUAGCGAAAGCGAGUCCGAAAGGGGCGAUUGAGUUCGAUCGAUUAGACCCGAAACCGAGCGAUCUAGAUAUGAGCAGGUUGAAGAUCGGGUAACGCCGAUUGGAGGACCGAACCCACCGUCGUUGAAAAGCCGGGGGAUGACUUGUGUCUAGGGGUGAAAGGCCAAUCAAGCUCGGUGAUAGCUGGUUCUCCGCGAAAGCUAUUUAGGUAGCGCCUCGCGUGAAUUCCGUCGGGGGUAGAGCUCUGGAUGGGCUAGGGGUCCUCACCGGAUUACCAAACCUAACCAAACUACGAAUACCGACGAGAACUGCGCGGGAGACACGCGGCGGGCGCUAAGGUCCGUCGCGGAAAGGGAAACAGCCCUGAUCGCCGGCUAAGGUCCCCAAGUCAUGGCUAAGUGGGAAAGGAAGUGGGACUCCCAAAACAACCGGGAUGUUGGCUUAGAAGCAGCCAUCAUUUAAAGAAAGCGUAAUAGCUCACUGGUCUAGUCCCCCUGCGCGGAAAAUGUAACGGGGCUUAAGCAACGCGCCGAAGACGCGGGUGUCAGAAGGUUGAGUAAAGGGAAUUGCCCGGGGAGCCGGGCAGUUUUUACAAGGGCGGGGUUCUACCCGACUUCGCCCUGUUUGGUGGGAUUUGAGAAAUUCAGUGCCGAAUUCGGUAUAAUUUUCGACAUGAACAUCAACGCCAGCAAGGAGCUGCUUGCCACGCUUGCCUCCACCGUUGCCAUUAUCGCCUUUUUGGUGUCUUUGGCGACGCAAAUGGGCGAAAUGCGCGGCGCAAUAGAAGCCAACGGCAAGGCAAUUGCGGAGUUGCGCGACGAUGUGCGCGAUUUGCGCAACACGGUCGCCGCGAACACCGCGUCGGUCGCAGAAAUGCGCGGCACAUUGUUGUCGCACAUUGGCGGGCAUAACCAUGCGCCCGUUGUCGCCGAAGGCAAAGAGGAAGAGUGAUAUGCGCGCUUUUCCGUCAUGUGAAUUAAAGUUCCCUUUACUCAACCUUUUGACGCGGUAGGAGAGCGUUCCGUAAGCCAGUGAAGGCGGUUUGAAAGGGCCGCUGGAGGUAUCGGAAGUGAGAAUGCUGACAUGAGUAACGUUAAAACGGGUGAAAAACCCGUUCGCCGAAAGUCCCAGGUUUCCUGUGCAAUGUUAAUCAUCGCAGGGUUAGUCGAUUCCUAAGGCGAGGCCGAAAGGCGUAGUCGAUGGAAAACGGGUUAAUAUUCCCGUACCUUCGCAUGAUGCGAUGGGGUGACGGAGAGUGCUGCCUUGUCCGGGUGUUGGAAGUCCCGGUUCAAGCUGGUAGUUCAUUGAUGUUUCCAGGUAAAUCCGGAAACGGAGAAUGAGAAGCGACAACGACCGCUUUUUCGGAAGCGGGAAGCAAGUGACGCACGCUCCCAAGAAAAGCCUCUAAGCUUCAGUCAUGCGAGGAUCGUACCGCAAACCGACACUGGUGGACAGGAAGAAUAUUCCAAGGCGCUUGAGAGAACUCGGGUGAAGGAACUCGGCAAAAUGAUACCGUAACUUCGGGAGAAGGUAUGCCCCGACAAUGUGAAGUCCCUCGCGGACGGAGCAGUAAGGGGUCGAAGAGAAUUGGUGGCUGCGACUGUUUACUAAAAACACAGCACUCUGCAAACACGAAAGUGGAAGUAUAGGGUGUGACGCCUGCCCAAUGCCGGAAGGUUAAUUGACGGGGUUAGCCCUUAUGGGCGAAGCUCCUGAUCGAAGCCCCGGUCAAUGGCGGCCGUAACUAUAACGGUCCUAAGGUAGCGAAAUUCCUUGUCGGGUAAGUUCCGACCUGCACGAAUGGCGUAACGACUGCUCCGGUGUCUCCAGCGUGGGCUCAGCGAAAUUGAAUUCUCCGUGAAGAUGCGGAGUACCCGCGGUUAGACGGAAAGACCCUAUGCACCUUUACUACAGCUUUGCGCUGACGCCAGAAUUUAUCUGUGUAGGAUAGGCGGGAGACUUUGAAGUUGCGGCGCCAGCCGUGAUGGAGUCGUCCUUGAAAUACCGCCCUGAUGGAUUUUGGUGUCUAACCUUGUUCUGUUAUCCAGAAUGGGGACACCGUAUGGUGGGUAGUUUGACUGGGGCGGUCGCCUCCUAAAGAGUAACGGAGGCGCGCAAAGGUGGGCUCAGUUCGGUCGGAAACCGAACGGCGAGUGCAAUGGCAUAAGCCUGCUUAACUGUGAGAGCGACAGCUCGAGCAGAGACGAAAGUCGGUCAUAGUGAUCCGGUGGUUCUGUGUGGAACGGCCAUCGCUAAACGGAUAAAAGGUACGCUAGGGAUAACAGGCUAAUCUCCCCCAAGAGUUCUCAUCGACGGGGAGGUUUGGCACCUCGAUGUCGACUCAUCGCAUCCUGGGGCUGUAGCAGGUCCCAAGGGUAUGGCUGUUCGCCAUUUAAAGCGGUACGCGAGUUGGGUUCAGAACGUCGUGAGACAGUUUGGUCCCUAUCUGCCGUGGGUGUUGGAAACUUGAAAGGGGCUGUCCCUAGUACGAGAGGACCGGGAUGGACGUACCUCUGGUGUUCCGAUUGUGGCGCCAGCCGCACUGUCGGGUAGCUAAGUAUGGGAACGAUAACCGCUGAAAGCAUCUAAGCGGGAAGCGUGCCUUGAGACUGGGUUUCCUUUGAGGGUUGUUGCAGACUACGACUUUGAUAGGCUUGGGGUGGAAGCGCAGUGAUGUGUGAAGCUGACGAGUACUAAUUGCCCGAAG